AGCGAACGCUGGCGGCAGGCCUAACACAUGCAAGUCGAACGAAGUCUUCGGACUUAGUGGCGGACGGGUGAGUAACACGUGGGAACGUGCCUUUAGGUUCGGAAUAACUCAGGGAAACUUGUGCUAAUACCGAAUGUGCCCUUCGGGGGAAAGAUUUAUCGCCUUUAGAGCGGCCCGCGUCUGAUUAGCUAGUUGGUGAGGUAAAGGCUCACCAAGGCUACGAUCAGUAGCUGGUCUGAGAGGAUGACCAGCCACAUUGGGACUGAGACACGGCCCAAACUCCUACGGGAGGCAGCAGUGGGGAAUCUUGCGCAAUGGGCGAAAGCCUGACGCAGCCAUGCCGCGUGGAUGAUGAAGGUCUUAGGAUUGUAAAAUCCUUUCACCGGUGAAGAUAAUGACUGUAGCCGUAGAAGAAGCCCCGGCUAACUUCGUGCCAGCCGCCGCGGUAA
rnacentral:rRNA from 1 species